UGGGAAUUUUGGACAUGGGGCAACCCUGAUCCAGCCAUCCCGCGUGUGCGAUGAAGGCCUUCGGGUUGUAAAGCACUUUUGGCAGGGAAGAAACAGCCUGGGAUAAUACCCCGGGCGACUGACGGUACCUGCAGAAUAAGCACCGGCUAACUACGUGCCAGCAGCCGCGGUAAUACGUAGGGUGCAAGCGUUAAUCGGAAUUACUGGGCGUAAAGCGUGCGCAGGCGGUUCGGAAGAAAGGUGUGAAAUCCCAGGGCUUAACCUUGGAACUGCACUUUUAACUACCGAGCUAGAGUACGUCAGAGGGGGGUAGAAUUCCACGUGUAGCAGUGAAAUGCGUAGAGAUGUGGAGGAAUACCGAUGGCGAAGGCAG
rnacentral:rRNA from 1 species